GGUCUAAUGCUCAGCGGUGAUCGACAGUGUCAAAACUUAAGAGAACACAAUCAGCAAAAAUAAGACAUAUACUUCCCAACUAAAACUGGCAAUUUACCGGCAAGAAUCUAUACUCUAAAGACCACAAAAGAAAGGGAGGAGGAUUAAUCAAUGAGGGUUGACCUCAUACCUGAUUUUUUGAUGAUGCUUGGCCUGCAAUUCCAAUGAACUCGAUAAGAAACCCAGAAGAGAAAAAGAGAAAGUUGGGCUUCUUUCUGGUGAUGAAUGGUGACCGAAGUGGAUAGGGCCAGGGGAGGAGUCUUAGUCCUCCCAACUUCCAUUUCUAUCGGGAGAUCAUGAGAAAGAGGACUCUCAUUGGGAGUCCAAUUUCUCCCACCUAGCACGUGCUAACAAAUUUGUUUUUGUGACGCUUCAAUAUCUAAGCAAAGGUCUUGUUGGGCCCUUUUACUAUAGAGUUGGGCCUCUAUGGGCUGUGGUAUGACAUCGAUUCUAGUGAGCGAGAGGAGGUGAUCUAGAGGAGAAAUGAGAAAAAAAGUGUGUGCACAUGAAUGCGCACAUGUAUGAUACAAAGAGAGAGAAAGAUCUAGAGAG
rnacentral:lncRNA from 1 species